rnacentral:rRNA from 1 species
UACGGGGGGGGGCAAGCGUUGUUCGGAAUUACUGGGCGUAAAGGGCUCGUAGGCGGCCAACUAAGUCGGAUGUGAAAUCCCCAAGCUUAACUUGGGAACUGCAUCCGAUACUGGAUGGCUUGAAUCCGGGAGAGGGAUGCAGAAUUCCAGGUGUAGCGGUGAAAAUGCGUAGAUAUCUGGAGGAAUACCGGUGGCGAAGGCGGCAUCCUGGACCGGCAUUGACGCUGAGGAGCGAAAGCUAGGGGAGCAAACGGG